rnacentral:snRNA from 1 species
UUGGCUAAGUCCGUUCGGCG